AGGGAGACCAAGGGAACUGCCCCAACAGACAGCCAGUUAGGCUUCUGCUGUGUCUUCCCACUUGAAGAGUGUAGUGGAGGGGUCCCAGGAUCAAAUGAUGCCCCAUGUCCCUCCUCUCCUGAACAAGGAGCCAGACCGGAGGGAGGAGGCAGGGAGCAGUCACCCCUCCCUAGGACCCUGACAGGUGAGGCGAGGAGUGGAGCAGACAUUUAGAGCAGAUAGGAGAUGGGAAUUUUUAACUAGACUGGGCUGUUUUUUUGAGGAAGAUUAGCCCUGAGCUAAUUGCUGCCAAUCCUCCUCUUUUUGCUGAGGAAGACUGGCCCUGAGCUAACAUCCGUGCCCAUCUUCCUCUACUUUAUACGUGGGACGCCUACCACAGCAUGGCGUGCCAAGCGGUGCCAUGUCUGCACCCGGGAUCCGAACCCGCGAGCCCCGGGCCUCUGAGAAGCAGAACGUGCGAACUUAACUGCUGCGCCUCCGGGCUGGCCCUAGACUGGGCUUUUGAAGGCACUGAUUAGAGAAAUGUAAAAUGUGUUCCUGUUCAGAUGCCACCAAGUCAAAACUCUUCCAUAAUGUGAUUACACAGACAUUGAUUUGGAGUUUAAAUCGUGCUCUUGCAGAAAAGAAUCAAGGGGGCAUGAAGCAGGACUGCCUGUAAGGGAGGGGAAGAUCACUAAACUGGUGGUUUUCAUGAGUCAGGCAACACAACCUGCAGGAGUAUCUGUCAUCCUAACAUCAGCUACUCCAGGAGACCUGAGCUCAAAUGCCUACAGGCACCAGAGAGGUCUGGGCCUGGAUUCUGCAUUUCCAACAAGCUCCCCGGUGAUGUCACUGCUGCUGGUCCACCAACUACAUCUUGUGUAGUGAGGAUUUAGUUCAUCCUUCUACCUAAGAAUUCCCUCUGAUUGUACAUGCCUGGUCAAUGAUGUCUCCAGUUCUGCUUGCACACCUCCAGGGACUGGAUGCUCACUACCUAUGGUCGCAGCCUGAGUGGCUGCAGCUUCUGCUAACUUCGGCCAGGCUCUGCAGCAAUGGUGAAGGACACCCAGAGUCAAACAUGCCCAGGCCUGGGAUCUGGAACAUCAGAGUUCCACAGAAGAAACUUCAGUUGGGGACCUAUCAGGAAGGGAGUGGACACUGUUGCCAAGAAGAGUUUCUGUCCAGUUGCUUACUCAGCAGCGCUCAGUUACACAGGAGAUACUACUAGUCCUGGGUGUUCUGGUUAAUAAAAGUUUGGUGCAAUCUGUUUACCUUCCUUUCCCCAAAGUCUUGAAACAACUUUUCUCUGCGCUUGGGCAAGCUAUCUGGUUAUGCCCACAGGAGAAGGAGCCAGGUUCUGACUUGUGAGGGAUGGAGAAGGGAAGGAGGCUUGAGGCUAAACAGAAGCACCUGCCUCCUCAGGCCACAAGACAACCCAUGCUCUCCUGGAUCAGGUCUCUACCUCCUCUGGAGUUGGGGCAUCCAAUCCCAGAUCCUCCUUCCAGGGUCCUCGAGAGGCCGUGGAAAGGGGACAAUCCCCCAUCCCAGCAUCCCCCGAUGGGCUCGGGAUCACUGGGGCUGGAGGUCACAUGCCCAGUGCUCCAUAUCCCAAGGCCAAUCAUCCUGAAGUCCAGCUGUCAGAGCUGGGGGGUGUGGAAACCACCUAGGCCACUCCUCAUUUCGCCUUGGAGGGGAACCCAAGCCCAGAGAGUGCAUGAGACUUUCCCACGGUCACACAGCUGGUUUGCAACCAGCUCCU
ensembl:lncRNA